UACGAAGGGGCUAGCGUUGCUCGGAAUUACUGGGCGUAAAGCGCACGUAGGCGGCUUGUUAAGUCGGGGGUGAAAUCCUGGAGCUCAACUCCAGAACUGCCUUCGAUACUGGCGAGCUCGAGUUCGGGAGAGGUGAGUGGAACUGCGAGUGUAGAGGUGAAAUUCGUAGAUAUUCGCAAGAACACCAGUGGCGAAGGCGGCUCACUGGCCCGAUACUGACGCUGAGGUGCGAAAGCGUGGGGAGCAAACAGG
rnacentral:rRNA from 1 species